rnacentral:rRNA from 1 species
CAGCCGCCGCGGUAAUACGAGGGGUGCAAGCGUUAUUCGGAUUGAUUGGGUGCAAAGGGUGUGCAGACGGCUUAUUAAGUCACUUGUUAAAUUCUUCGGCCUAACUGAAGGUCUGCAAGUGAUACUGAUGAGCUAGAGGGUGGAAGAGAGAAGUGGAAUUCUCGGAGUAGCGGUAAAAUGCGUAGAUCUCGAGAGGAACACCAAUGGCGAAGGCAGCUUCUUGGUCCAUUCCUGACGUUCAUACACGAAAGCGUGGGGAGCAAACAGGAUUAGAUACCCGAGUAGUCCCUGUCUCUUAUAC